rnacentral:rRNA from 1 species
GACGAACGCUGGCGGCGUGCUUAACACAUGCAAGUCGAACGCAGUGGGGACGGGUGAGUAACACGGGGGUAACCUCCCAUCAGAGGGGAUACCACUUGGAAACAGGUGCUAAACCGCUCCUGCUGGAUGGACCCGCGGUGCAUUAGCUAGUUGGUGAGGGAACGGUUCACCAAGGCCACGAUGCAUAGCCGCCCUGGGAGGGGUAUCUGCCACACUGGGACUGAGACACGGCCCAGACUCCUACGGGAGGCAGCAGUAGGGAAGCUUCGGCAAUGGACGAAAGUCUGACCGAGCAACGCCGCGUGAGUGAAGAAGGUUUUCGGAUCGUAAAACUCUGUUGUUAGAGAAGCGGUAUCUAACCAGAAAGCCACGGCUAACUACGUGCCAGCAGCCGCGGUAAUAC